rnacentral:rRNA from 1 species
CAACCUGCCGUCUACUCUUGGACAGCCUUCUGAAAGGAAGAUUAAUACAAGAUGGCAUCAUGAGUUCACAUGUUCACAUGAUUAAAGGUAUUCCGGUAGACGAUGGGGAUGCGUUCCAUUAGAUAGUAGGCGGGGUAACGGCCCACCUAGUCUUCGAUGGAUAGGGGUUCUGAGAGGAAGGUCCCCCACAUUGGAACUGAGACACGGUCCAAACUCCUACGGGAGGCAGCAGUGAGGAAUAUUGGUCAAUGGGCGCAGGCCUGAACCAGCCAAGUAGCGUGAAGGAUGACUGCCCUAUGGGUUGUAAACUUCUUUUAUAAAGGAAUAAAGUCGGGUAUGUAUACCCGUUUGCAUGUACUUUAUGAAUAAGGAUCGGCUAACUCCGUGCCAGCAGCCGCGGUAAUACGGAGGAUCCGAGCGUUAUCCGGAUUUAUUGGGUUUAAAGGGAGCGUAGAUGGAUGUUUAAGUCAGUUGUGAAAGUUUGCGGCUCAACCGUAAAAUUGCAGUUGAUACUGGAUAUCUUGAGUGCAGUUGAGGCAGGCGGAAUUCGUGGUGUAGCGGUGAAAUGCUUAGAUAUCACGAAGAACUCCGAUUG